rnacentral:rRNA from 1 species
AGCGAACGCUGGCGGCAGGCUUAACACAUGCAAGUCGAGCGGGCACUUUCGGGUGUCAGCGGCGGACGGGUGAGUAACGCGUGGGAACGUGCCCUCUGGUUCGGAAUAACUCAGGGAAACUUGAGCUAAUACCGGAUACGCCCUUUUGGGGAAAGGCUUGCUGCCGGAGGAUCGGCCCGCGUCUGAUUAGCUAGUUGGUGAGGUAACGGCUCACCAAGGCGACGAUCAGUAGCUGGUCUGAGAGGAUGAUCAGCCACACUGGGACUGAGACACGGCCCAGACUCCUACGGGAGGCAGCAGUGGGGAAUAUAGGACAAUGGGCGCAAGCCUGAUCCAGCCAUGCCGCGUGAGUGAUGAAGGCCUUAGGGUUGUAAAGCUCUUUUAUCCGGGACGAUAAUGACGGUACCGGAGGAAUAAGCCCCGGCUAACUUCGUG